UUCGUGCGUUUUACGCCCUCUCCCUGCGCUCUACUCCGUGAGACUUCCCAACACGCUCACGUGACAAAGGGAGCUUGGCUUUUAUGUUCGAUAGAACCCGCCGUGUGUUUAUCUGUCGACUUACACUGCACAGAGUGAGUGGUUGUAAGCUUUAUGGUAUCCUGCUAAACCGUGGCUGGGCUGGUGUUUUUUUAUUUUUGGAAGCAGAGUGUAAAAUCCCAAGUUUAAGACUACUAAUAUAUCCUCGUGUGUUGAUUGGUUACCGGGAUCUCGAUCUUCAAAACUCGACAGUUUCAUUUACAAGUUUGGGCUGAAAGAGACUAAGAAGCCCGAAUGGAGAAAUGGAUCAUGGUGUUAAUGGUGUUACUUCCACUUUUACCUCAAGGUUUAGCCACCCAGUGUUACCUCUGUAGCUGGAGUCCGAAUGACAGAAACAACGUAACAGACCGUUGCACAGACGACAACUUUCACCCCCAGAGGGUGUACACGCACGAGUGUGACCAUGGGUGUGAGAUAUUCGUUCAGUGGGAUUCGAAUGGAAUCCUCGAACACUGGAGAAGAAACUGUGUCCCGAAAGACGUAGACGCAGAAUUGAACUGUGAAGUUUCUAAUAAACUCGCAUGGAAGAGAAAAAUUUGUACUUGCGAUUCGGACUACUGUAACAGUGUAUCCUGUUUGGCAGGAUUAGGUGUUUCUGGACACGCGUUGAUUUUACUGUUACUGUUGAAAUUAACGCAGUGACUUUUUUUAGUCCCUGUGCAUCUCUAUAGAGAACUGUAAAACAAAAUGAUAUCGUAAAGGUGUUAGUCUUGGACUAUCUAUUAAAGAGAAUGAUAGGUAACAUGAGAGAUACCUCCGGAUAACAGCUCAUGAAUAACAAAUUUAGUUCUUGUUGGCUAUCAUAAUAGUGUUACAUAGGUAUUGGAUAAUUAUUUUAAUCUUAAUUUAAGAAGUUUUUAUUAUAGCUUAUCAUAUGAAGUAACUAAAGCGACUUGGUGACUCGGUAAUAUAUCUACUAUUCUAUUGUGUAUUUCUAUUAUAUUUAGGGUAUAUAUUGUGUAUUUGUAUUAUAUUUAGGGUAAGAUGUUAUGUUUCUAUCGCACCAUGUUACUUCUUAUGUAUUUGUAAAUUAUAUAUUUUAUUGAUGUUCAUCUUUACAGUAUCCCAAACUGGUUGUUUGGAGUGAAAGUUGAUGUAGGAGACUGAUCAUAAAAAAAAACAGUUUUUAUAGAACAACAGAAAUUCACUGUAUAAGGUGGUUGUUGACGCGUAUUUUUUUUUUUUCAUAUUGACGUUGAGAAUCAAAAUGAGUAAAUAUAGGAGAAUCGUGGGAUUGAUGCUGUAUUGUAAAACUGGCAAAUAUAGGAGAAUCGUGGGAUUGGUGCUGUAUUGUAAAACUGGCAAAUAUAGGAGAAUCAUGGGAUUGGUGCUGUAUUGUAAAACUGGCAAAUACAGGAGAAUCGUGGGAUUGAUGCUGUAUUGUAAAACUGGCAAAUACAGGAGAAUCAUGGGAUUGGUGCUGUAUUGUAAAACUGGCAAAUAUAGGAGAAUCAUGGGAUUGGUGCUGUAAAACUGGCAAGUAUAGAAGAAUCAUGGGAUUGGUGCUGUAUUGUAAAACAGUCCACCUUUGUCAAUCCAUCUCUCUCUCAAACGGGCUUAGCUGAUACGCUAAAGAAAAAAUGUCGGAUUUUAACUCAUUUAGAAUUCCUUAUAAGCUAAAAAAGUGUAUUUACCAGAUAGAUGUGUAUAAAGUCACAUAAAAGCUUAUUGUUAAACGUGAAACUACGUGAAUUUGAGUCACGUGGUUGGCAAAAAUUCAUUUACAUUCAAGACAGUUUGACUUGCAUGUUUACUUUCAUCAGAAUUUCUCACAUUUAAUCCCUUGGUGCUCGGGAGAAAAUGAUAUUAUUUUAAGUAACCUUCAGCCCAUUAGUUCGAGACAGAAGCGUGUCCAUAUUUUCAAUUUUAUUUUAGACGUUUGUGAUUUUAGAUAGCUUGUUAUAUUCCCACACAUUAGUAUUUAUUGUCAACAUACAGGGUAUAAGCUUACAGCAGUAAGGCUUAAGUUAUUAGUAACAUCGCUGAUCUCUCACUGUUCUCUCAAAACAAACAUGCUUGGACUUACACAGAAAAAACUUGAAAACACUACGGUAUUUUUCCCAUGUCUCGCUGUCCUUAGAUAACAUAAAAAAAAACGUUGUAUUAAAACAUUAAAAAAAAUGAUGUAUUGUAGCAAAGAAAAAAUCAUAAUACGAAGAUUUCGAUCGGUUUGAUAAACUAUAAAUCCUUUCUAUUGACGUGGAGAAUAAAGUUACAUUAUAAGCCAGAAGAGGGAGUUACGUACGAACCCUAAAUAGUAUUUGUGCCUUCAAUUUGAAAACGAAGAAAUAUUAUUAUUUAUAAAAUACUGAGAAAAAAAACUAUAAUGAACAUUUUUCUUUGUUUUCUAAUAACAAUACAUUGGUUCAUACAAAACAAUGUAAAUAAAAUACACCAAAUUAUCUCGUACUGUUUAACAGAACUUUAAUAACAUUUGUUAGUUGCACGAGCCUUAAAAUACGUGGAUUUAGGGCGACUUAAAUAUCAACAUUGUUCUAUGUAUGAUCCUUAAUCUUAAUACUCAAAAACAGAAUGACGAGAAUGAAAAACUGUCUCCAAAAAUGAGAGUAAUCACAUUCCACACACAAAAAAACGACGUUUCGCUUAUGCCUUUCUCAAGAGUUGGAACGUCACAUCUAAAUAUAAACUGAGAAAGAUGUAGGCUGAAAGGUAAGGCUUAGAUAAUAUAAAUAUUUUAUUUUUCUAAAGUGUGACUGAUAGUUUUUUUUUUAACAUGGUUUCAAUUCUCCAGUUUGCUCUGCAAAGUUUAUAAACUGAAAAAAGAAAACCAAAUUCUGUUGUUUUCGGAUGUAAUGACGAUAUGUACUGUUGGUUUCGGAUGUAAUGACGAUAAGUACUGCUGGUUUCGGAUGUAAUUACGAUAAGUACUGUUGGUUUCGGAUGUAAUAACGAUAAGUCCUGUUGAUUUCGGAUGUAAUAACGAUAAGUCCUGUUGGUUUCGGAUGUAAUGACGAUAAGUACUGUUGGUUUCGGAUGUAAUGACGAUAAGGGCUGUUGGUUUCAGAUGUAAUGACGAUAAGGGCUGUUGGUUUCAGAUGUAACGAUAAGUAUUGUUGGUUUCGGAUGUAAUGACGAUAUGUAAUGUUGGUUUCGGAUGUAAUGACGAUAAGUACUGUUGGUUUCGGAUGUAAUAACGAUAAGUAUUGUUGGUUUCGGAUGUAAUAACGAUAAGUAUUGUUGGUUUCGGAUGUAAUGACGAUAAGUACGAUCUGGUGCUUAAUAUUUACUAACGUCUUUAUAAUAAAAUCAAAUAAUAUUGUAUAACGUAUUUCACAGAUUUCUGUAUAUUGCUUUCAAUCAGAAAUCAUUGUUCCCGUACUAUCUCAACUGUAUACAGAAAUACGGAGUUACACGAUUCUUAUGUGAUGCUUUUGAUUGGCUGAUAAAUAAGUGCACGAUUUAGAACAUUUAGUUGGAAUACAAUCCUCACUUUGUUGUCUACAAACUUUGUUUUCGGGAGAAUCGCUUGUUCUACCGAGAGCAUUACUUAUGCCUUCAGGUAGUACGAUAAGACGUUCUGCACGCAGACGAACGCACGAGGUUAUUGUACUGCAGUAAUUCGACACGUCAGUGUAAAACGUGACAAUUAGCUGAAAUGCCAGAGUGUAUACAUGAGUUUCAACAAACAGUCUAAAUGAAGAACAUCAUAGUAUUGAAUAGACAUAAUAGCGAAGUUGAAUUUGUGCAUGAACGAAUACAUUCUAGUAAAGUGUAUUCCA